rnacentral:rRNA from 1 species
GCGGCGGACGGGUGAGUAACACGUGGGCAACCUGCCCUGUAGAUUGGGAUAACUCCGGGAAACCGGGGCUAAUACCGAAUAAUCCAUUUCCUCACAUGGGGAGAUGUUAAAAGACGGCAUCUCGCUGUCACUACAGGAUGGGCCCGCGGCGCAUUAGCUAGUUGGUGAGGUAACGGCUCACCAAGGCGACGAUGCGUAGCCGACCUGAGAGGGUGAUCGGCCACACUGGGACUGAGACACGGCCCAAACUCCUACGGGAGGCAGCAGUAGGGAAUCUUCCACAAUGGACGAAAGUCUGAUGGAGCAAUGCCGCGUGAGUGAAGAAGGUUUUCGGAUCGUAAAACUCUGUUGUGAGGGAAGAACAAGUACGAGAGUAACUGCUCGUACCUUGACGGUACCUCAUUAGAAAGCCACGGCUAACUACGUGCCAGCAGCCGCGGUAAUACGUAGGUGGCAAGCGUUGUCCGGAAUUAUUGGGCGUAAAGCGCGCGCAGGCGGUCCUUUAAGUCUGAUGUGAAAUCCCACGGCUCAACCGUGGAAGGUCAUUGGAAACUGGGGGACUUGAGUACAGAAGAGGAAAGCGGAAUUCCAAGUGUAGCGGUGAAAU